UCCCAGGAUGGGAGAGGUGAAUACCACAUU
rnacentral:piRNA from 1 species